rnacentral:rRNA from 1 species
UGGGGAAUCUUGGACAAUGGGGGAAACCCUGAUCCAGCAAUGCCGCGUGUGUGAAGAAGGCCUGAGGGUUGUAAAGCACUUUUAGAGGGAAAGAAAUCUUCAAUGUUAAUACCAUUGAGGCUUGACGUUACCCUAAGAAAAAGCACCGGCUAACUCUGUGCCAGCAGCCGCGGUAAUACAGAGGGUGCAAGCGUUAAUCGGAAUUACUGGGCGUAAAGCGCACGUAGGUGGUAAUAUAAGUCAGAUGUGAAAUCCCCGGGCUUAACCUGGGAACUGCAUUUGAAACUGUAUAACUAGAGUAGGAUAGAGGAGAGGGGAAUUUCCGGUGUAGCGGUGAAAUGCGUAGAUAUCGGAAGGAACACCAGUGGCGAAGGCGCCUCUCUGGAUUCAUACUGACACUGAGGUGCGAAAGCGUGGGGAGCAAACAGGAUUAGAUACCCCCGUAGUCC